ensembl:rRNA 5S_rRNA 5S ribosomal RNA
GUCUACGGCCAUACCACCCUGAACACGCCCGAUCUCGUCUGAUCUCGGAAGCUAAGCAGGGUCAGGCCUGGUUAGUAAUUGGAUGGGAGAUUAACGAAAAGAUGAAGUCAUGCCAUUUGCA